CUUUCGUAUCUCUUUCCCACGAUCUCCGCCUGCUCUUUAUGUAAAGAAAAAAAACCAAGUCAAUCCACAACUACUUCCCGAACGGAAGUCAGAAGAAUCCCCAUUUUCCUCACCUCAAACCCUAACACUAGGCAGUUGAUCUUCUCUCUCAAUCUCUCAUAAUUCUUUCAUUCCAUUCAUGUUAUGAAACCAUUGAAUCAAAUAUCUAUUCAUGUUAAGAUCAAUCAAAGUUAUCUUUUCUAAACCCAUAUCUCAUAAACUAAAUCCAUCCUCAGAAACCAAACCCAAUCUUCAGUACUCCAGAUUUCGUAUUGAACCCUAGAAUAUAGAUUUUUUCGACAUAAUCUCUAGCAAACUAAUCUCUUUAAUCUCUGCAUGACAUCUUGCUGACAAGUCCAAGAAGAUGAGUUUAUAAGACCCUAGAUUCCUUGUUUAUGCUGAUGAUGUGAGUCUAAUUUCUUACAUAAAAUUAGUCCAAAGCAGAGAAGCAGGAAGAAUUAGAUUUUCGGGGUUCUCAAGCAGAAUGGCUUGUGGUAGCCUGAAGAUAAGCAUUGCUAGAGUAUGAGAGAUCCAUCCCUUUUAUCUUUAAGUGAAAUUGAGUACACUUAAAAGUUUGAGGCAGCUGACCUGAAAUUUGUGGUGGGGAUGAAAGUGGAAAGUACUGGAGAGCUUCCAAGUCACCAUUUUUAGACGGAAGUGCAAUUCCAUCCCAUGUUCAAAUUAAGACCUGGACGGCCUUCUGCUUUAAAUCUAUCGCUGAUGCAUGAAUUUUUUUUCCAGUCUUAUAUUGCCAGCGAGCGGGGCAGUUGCAAGCGUACAUUGACAAGCAACAACAUGGAAACUAGGACAUAAGUUGAUUUUCUUCGGUCGUCGUCUGAUACUUUUCAUGGUAUGCUAGUUAAGAGUAUGGGUCAAUCUUGAUGUGCUUACAUAUGGUACUCUGCUUAUGUUAUUAUAAAUACUGAUUAGUGGACAUCUUGUUACUUGUUCAUCAUGCAAGUAUGAAUUUGGUACUUGCAGUUUCAAAUCUAUACGUUUUGAAUUUAGGAAAUAUCAUUAGUGUACUAUAGACAACACUGAAGGCACCCAUGAAACUGGUGGAUCCAGAAAGUAAAAUUCUGAGUAAUACAGACUAUACAGUUUGUUUUACUUUUCUCUUUUGCAUGGGCAAGCGGCAUCCUAGUGACAGUUUGGAGGAGCUCUUGCAGUGUGAGUGAGGACAUGCAUCUGCAGUAAACAAGACUUGGAGUAGUCACGCCCUUUCUUCUGUCUGAUGCGGAUGCGUUUACAUGUUUUGACACUUACUGAUUAUAUUGAUGUCUUUGUUAUUAACUCUAGUAGAAUUCAUAUAUCGUUGAUUUGAUUCUACGUAUGGAUUUCUGUUUUGUAGUUUGAUUCUUCACAAGACUAAACUUUAUGCUGCUGCGCUUGCUCCAUUCAAGGCUUACUAAGGUGAUGAUUUUCCCUAUGUAAUUGAUUUGUCAUUGUUGGCUCAUGUCAAGGUUUAUAAUCUUAAUUCAAAUAAAGUAUUAUUAGUACCUUAUACUUUAUUCAGCAUCAAUAGUCUGUUCAGUUUGAACUAACACAUGAACAUCAGUCUCUGGUUUACCCUAGUAGUAUUCCUCAACCGAGAACUUCUCCCUGUAACCAGAAUCCACCUCAUUUAUUUUAAUGCUUAUAUAGAUUCUAAUCGUACUAUUAGAAUUGGUACAACUCUUCUUGAUAAUGCAGGAAACUUCUGGGGUGCCAAAACAAUCCCAAGCACAGCAUGAGAUGCUCAACAUGCUGAAGCCAUGGCUCUUCUUGCAGCCAUAUUAUGGGCUAGCCAGAUGGAACUACAGUUUACUUCGUACGGGACUGGAGCUAUUACCAACUCUAUCAAUGCUUCUAAGUCUAGUGUUUAGCGGACUACUAUCGUUCUGAAGAUGUAUGCUAUGCUAUUAGUGUUCAAAUCACCAUAGUUAACCAUUGUUAUAGUGGUUUCUGUCAUGUUUUCUGGAUUUUUGGUGUAAUUAAUGUUGAUAGUAUUGAAUAUUCGAAAUAAAAUAGUCUUCAGGUUUCUGUGCAUGGACAGGAAUCAAUUUAUUUUGCAACAUUUGAUUAGGUCUUAUUUGGAAUAAAAUUUCUGUUAAUUCCGGGUAA